rnacentral:lncRNA from 1 species
GAAAUCUACCCAGUCUGAACUACACUAUGACUUGAUCCUCUUCACCGAGGUACGUAGGCAUCUUAGAGUUUCAUUCUAAGUUCAGUCGUAUAAGUUCAAAAGAUACAUAUUGCCCCAAUUGUUGUCCGAGUGAAGUAUGGAGGAAUGUAAAAUCAAGGUGAAAUGACAUCCUCUUAUUGAACUUCGAUCUCAUUUGAUUUAAAAGGGGCAAUCCUCCAUGGUAAAUUGAUAUCUUCAAGUCCGUCGGUACUCAAGUUGCAGUCCCAAGUUGAAAUCUUCAACUCCGUCGUUUCUUCAAGUAGAAAUCUUCAAAUUCGCCGAUCUUCAAGUUGAAAUAUAUAGGUCCUCCAAGUUUCAAAGUUGAAGUCUUCAAGUCCGUCGGUCUUCAAGUCCGUAGGUCUUCAAGUUGAAGUCUUCAAAUUCGCCGAUCUUUAAGUUGAAAUAUUUA